AACGAACGCUGGCGGCAUGCUUAACACAUGCAAGUCGAACGAGAAAGGUUUCUUCGGAAGCUGAUUAGAGUGGCGCACGGGUGAGUAACGCGUAGAUAACCUACCCUUCAGUCUGGGAUAACCCCUCGAAAGGGGGGCUAAUACCGGAUGAGACUUGAGAACGAAUGUUUUCGAGUUAAAAGUGUUAGCGCUGAGGGAUGGGUCUGCGUUCCAUUAGCUAGUUGGUAGGGUAACGGCCUACCAAGGCGACGAUGGAUAGCGGGUCUGAGAGGAUGAUCCGCCACACUGGCACUGAGACACGGGCCAG
rnacentral:rRNA from 1 species